rnacentral:rRNA from 1 species
UGCCAGCAGCCGCGGUAAUACGAAGGUGGCUAGCGUUGUUCGGAAUCACUGGGCAUAAAGCGCGUGUAGGUGGCUUUGCAAGUCGGGUGUGAAAUCCCUCAGCUCAACUGAGGAACUGCACCCGAAACUGCGAGGCUUGAGGCCUGGAGGGGAGAAUGGAAUUCCCGGUGGAGCGGUGAAAUGCGUAGAUAUCGGGAGGAACGCCGGCGGCGAAAGCGAUUCUCUGGACAGGUUCUGACACUGAGACGCGAAAGCUAGGGGAGCAAACGGGAUUAGAUA